rnacentral:misc_RNA from 1 species
GAUGAAGAACGCAGCGAAAUGCGAUAAGUAGUGUGAAUUGCAGAAUUCAGUGAAUCAUCGAAUCUUUGAACGCACAUUGCGCCCCUUGGUAUUCCAUGGGGCAUGCCUGUUCGAGCGUCAUUUGUACCCUCAAGCUUUGCUUGGUGUUGGGUGUUUGUCCUCUCCCUCGCGUUUGGACUCGCCUUAAAACAAUUGGCAGCCAGUAUUUUGGUAAUGAAGCGCAGCACAUUUUGCGAUUCUAGCUAAAAUACUUGCGUCCAUAAGCCUUUUUUAACUUUUGACCUCGGAUCAGGUAGGGAUACCCGCUGAACUUAAGCAUAUCAAUAAGCGGAGGA